UACGGGGGGGGCAAGCGUUGUUCGGAAUUACUGGGCGUAAAGGGCGCGUAGGCGGUUGGAUAAGUCAGCUGUGAAAACCACGGGCUUAACUCGUGGCCUGCAGUUGAGACUGUCUGGCUUGAGUGUGGGAGAGGAGAGUGGAAUUCCUGGUGUAGCGGUGAAAUGCGUAGAUAUCAGGAGGAACACCGGUGGCGAAGGCGGCUCUCUGGACCACAACUGACGCUGAGGCGCGAAAGUGUGGGGAGCGAACAGG
rnacentral:rRNA from 1 species